ensembl:lncRNA
AAUUUAUUUUGCUCAGAUACCGGGUGCGGACAGCCGGGUGGCGGGUACGGAAGAACAGAUUAGUGCUCUCUCACCACACUCACGGCAGCACGGCAGCCGAAAUAGCUCAGUUGGGAGAGCGUUAGACUGAAGAUCUAAAGGUCCCUGGUUCGAUCCCGGGUUUCGGCAGAAGCUUUUUGUUUUCGGCAGAAGUUUUUGUGGGUUUUUUUUUUUUUUUUUCUUUUACCCUCAAGCCGGUUCCUUUUGCUGCGGAGCGGAGAGGGCGGGGGCUGCUGUCCCUCCAUCGGGCGGCUGAGCCGGUGCCAACGCAGGCGCUCCCGUGUGCGGCACCUUGUGUCAGGAGCCUCUUCCCGAAGGACGGCGGCGGUGGAGCGAGUCCUGCGGGCAUGACCUGGCCUGAGAGGGGCCGUUUCCCACCCGUCCUCGUUAGUAUAGUGGCCUUUGUGAACACACACGGCUUUUGUGUCCCACUGUGCACAGGAGCACCAAAAAGAAGGACAAAACACCAAACACCAAAAUGCAGAGGGGACAGUGGCCUCUCAUCCCAGGCUGACACUGCCACACAGAGCUCAGGGGCUCUGCUCCACAUUCCCAGAGCCGAAGGGGAAGGACAGAAGCCAGGACACCAGAGCUGACUGCACUCCUGGCGGUGACACUGCUUGGGAAGAGCUCUCAGGGAAACAACCACACUGCUUUGAUCUCCUCUGGCUGGCUGGGGAGUCUCUGUGGGGCUGGGAGGGCUCAGAGCUACAAGAAACAACCACCCUGCUUUGAUCUCCUCUGGCUGGCUGGGGAAUCUCUGUGGGGCUGGGAGGGCUCAGAGCUACAGCCCAGCUGAGAGGUUUAGUCCAGAGAAACCAAAGCCCACGCAGAGCCUGAGGCAGCUCUGAUACCACAGCUCAGUGGCAGCUGUUCUGUCUCACUGCCUGGUUAGAACAGCAGCAGGAGCUGACUGCUGACAAAUGCAAAGUGACACUUCCUGCCACUGCGGCUGAAAAGCUCCUUGUGCUAUUUAUUUACUCAUCUUACUUCCAGUUGUUAUUUUGAGCCAAUGUUUGGCUACAGCGCUGCUAAGUGUGAAGAUCCCUGUUGUAAAUUACUCCCUGGCUGCAUUUCUGGAAUGUGCCCUGCAUGCGAAUGUAACAGACAAUUUGUAGUAAAACACUUUUUGUCACAAAAUACUUCUCCGUGCGUCUUUUUGAUCAUUUUCUGACCAGUCCUAAGUACUCACCUUGUAACUAAAAGAACAAGCUUAGCAUUAUUGUUCACUUUCUGCUGAGGAAAGACCUAAACCUGGAAGGCUUCUCCAAUUUUUGCUGUUUCUAUACUCCCAAUGCACACAGUGGCAACCACUGAGCAGUAUCCAAAAGACUUCUGUGGGGUUUUUUUCCCAUCUAAAUGACCCGAGCGUUUGAGAUUAUUAUCACUUCAGUGAGUGUUAAUACAAACACAAAGCAGCAGAGGCUGAAGAGCUCCCCAGAGCAUUCCCCUCCUGUAACAGCUCCAUGUGUCAGGCAGACAUAGGCACUUUUCCUCAAACCACAAAGCUGUUGCUGGACCUCUGCUCCUUUCCUGCUGCUGAGCAGCCCUGGGUGUCAUCGGUGUCCUUUCCAUUUCCCUUGGGUGCUGCCAAAUGAAGGAUUUUGUGGGCAGAUAAAGCAGAAUGGCACUGCCUGGAUCUUGCAGACAAGGCUGCAUUCUGUUCCCAGCUGUUGCCUGGAAUUGUUGAGUUUGAGUAGGAUGGUGCAGGAGCUGGUCGUCAGAGUGCAGCACAGGUCUGGCAGAAGGUGCUAUUUGAGAACAGAAUAAGAAUUAGGCAUAAUUAUUACUAUUAUUUCUGAUUUUACCCGAGUUA